rnacentral:rRNA from 1 species
UACGGGGGGGGCAAGCGUUGUUCGGAAUUACUGGGCGUAAAGGGCUCGUAGGCGGCCAACUAAGUCAGACGUGAAAUCCCUCGGCUUAACCGGGGAACUGCGUCUGAUACUGGAUGGCUUGAGUGUGGGAGAGGGAUGCGGAAUUCUCGGUGUAGAGGUGAAAUUCGUAGAUAUCGAGAGGAACACCGGUGGCGAAGGCGGCGAUCUGGACGAUGACUGACGCUGAGACGCGAAAGCGUGGGGAGCAAACAGG